rnacentral:rRNA from 1 species
GACGAACGCUGGCGGCGUGCUUAACACAUGCAAGUGGUGCGACGAACCAGGCUUCGGCCUGGGGCAGAGCCGCGAACGGGUGAGUAACACGUGGGCAACCUGCCCUGUUGAUCGGGACAACCCGGGGAAACCCGGGCUAAUACCGAAUGUGGUGCCGGCUCAUGAGAGCCGUCACGAAAGGAAGCUUCGGCCUCCGCGACCGGAUGGGCCCGCGGCCCAUUAGCUUGGUGGUGGGGUAAUGGCCUACCAAGGCAACGAUGGGUAGCUGGUCUGAGAGGACGAUCAGCCACACUGGGACUGAGACACGGCCCAGACUCCUACGGGAGGCUGCAGUGGGGAAUCUUGCGCAAUGAGCGACAGCUUGACGCAGCAACGCCGCGUGGGGGAAGAAGGCUUUCGGGUCGUAAACCCCUUUCAGUUAGGACGAAGCUUUAUUGGUUAAUAACCAAUUGGAGUGACGGUACUUUCAGAAGAAGCCCCGGCUAACUACGUGCCAGCCGCCGCCGUAA